CUGGUUUUGUCAUUGGUAGUCUGUGAAGUUACGAAAUACACAAUGACUAAAAUGGUGACGGCAUAUUUUGGAUUUCUCAUUGCCAUGCAUAUUGUAUUACUGGUCCACGCGCAGACGAGGUCUACGCCAGUGACUACUAAAGCCGGUGGUGUGACUUCCAAUGGGACCGCGAUGCCCCAAGUUGUUUCUAAGACUACUACCAAACCGAAAGGACAAGGCGCUCCCUUCUACUCUAGCACGUUCACGCUGCUCAUCCCUAUGGCGGUGGUUGGUUUACUACAUGGACACUUCUAGAGGGCUUUUCUGUACUGAGCAUUGCCAAGAGUUUCACCUCAGCCUUUAAUGAGCAAACUAAAGACAAUCCUAUGUGCAAGGGAUGGAGUUGUGAAGUUUCAUGCGCACGCGGACACAUUCAUUCUUCACACUGAUUGGCUGAAGGUACGUCAAGGCGCUUCCUGUACGUCUUAAUCUCGUAGGCUCUUCAUGCUUGACCGGACAUGGAGGGGGUUGUUUCGGAACUUUCAGACAACUUUUUGGAUGUCUGAAAUAAACAAAUUUGUCAAGCCCUUUGGCGAAUCACUGAAUUGGUCUGAUCUGUGGCACAGGUCCUGGUGUGCUCAUGCAACAGCUUUGGAUGUUUGUCAGAGGAUUACUAUCAUGCAGCUGAGAUCUACGGUACUUUUAUUUAUGUAACGCUGUGAUUUGUUUAAUGCUUUGUAUUGGUUUAAGCUUUGAAAUAAUUGUAGAAUUUCUGAAUAAAACUGCCCCAUCAAU